rnacentral:rRNA from 1 species
UACGUAGGGUGCAAGCGUUAAUCGGAAUUACUGGGCGUAAAGCGUGCGCAGGCGGUGAUGUAAGACAGAUGUGAAAUCCCCGGGCUCAACCUGGGAACUGCAUUUGUGACUGCAUCGCUAGAGUACGGCAGAGGGGGGAUGGAAUUCCGCGUGUAGCAGUGAAAUGCGUAGAUAUGCGGAGGAACACCGAUGGCGAAGGCAAUCCCCUGGGCCUGUACUGACGCUCAUGCACGAAAGCGUGGGGAGCAAACAGG